AGUGAACGCUGGCGGUAGGCCUAACACAUGCAAGUCGAACGGCAGCACAGUAAGAGCUUGCUCUUACGGGUGGCGAGUGGCGGACGGGUGAGGAAUACAUCGGAAUCUACUUUUUCGUGGGGGAUAACGUAGGGAAACUUACGCUAAUAUCGCAUACGACCUACGGGUGAAAGCAGGGGAUCUUCGGACCUUGCGCGAUUGAAUGAGCCGAUGUCAGAUUAGCUAGUUGGCGGGGUAAAGGCCCACCAAGGCGACGAUCCGUAGCUGGUCUGAGAGGAUGAUCAGCCACACUGGAACUGAGACACGGUCCAGACUCCUACGGGAGGCAGCAGUGGGGAAUAUUGGACAAUGGGCGCAAGCCUGAUCCAGCCAUACCGCGUGGGUGAAGAAGGCCUUCGGGUUGUAAAGCCCUUUUGUUGGGAAAGAAAAGCAGCAGGUUAAUACCCCGCUGUUCUGACGGUACCCAAAGAAUAAGCACCGGCUAACUUCGUG
rnacentral:rRNA from 1 species